rnacentral:rRNA from 1 species
AAACGACUCUCGGCAACGGAUAUCUCGGCUCUUGCAUCGAUGAAGAACGUAGCAAAAUGCGAUACGUGGUGUGAAUUGCAGAAUUCCGUGAACCAUCGAGUUUUUGAACGCAAGUUGCGCCCAAUGUCAUUUUGGCUAAGGGCACGUCUGCCUGGGCGUC